rnacentral:lncRNA from 12 species
AUGCUGGAAAAUGAAGGUUUUAAACUGGGCACAGUGCCAAGCCAAAGAUACCUGGGGGUUCUGUUAAUAGAGAAGGUAAAAGAAUAUUGUGUAGGUCAUUGCUGUAUCUUAUAUGUUUUAAGGUUUCUACUCAGGAGACAAGAACAAGCUUGUCAGAUAAAAGCAAAUUGUGAACAAACUUCUAUGAAUAGUUGUGUCCCACGGUGGAAGGGCAUCAAGGAACAAAUGUCAUCUUCAUUAGAGAGCUUCAGUAGUUCAUCUUCCUAUGGCAUCAAGCUGCCUCUCGUGUCAGAAGUGAAAGUCAAGAGAGGUCUUAAGAAGAGGCAGUUCAAGAAAGGAGUUAAAUUAUUAAAGAGUAAGUUGGCAACUUUAAAGUUAGUGAGCCAAGGAAGAGUAUUUUAGAAAGAAACUAUAUGAUUAAACUAGGUGGGACCAAUCUUUUGAAGCCAAUUAAAAGAGGCAGGCUGGUGGGCAGCUCUGUGAAGAGGUGGAUAGGAGAAGGGUAAUUUUUAAAGGAUGUUAAAAUAAUACUAGUAAAAACAAAUCAACUCAACAUUUGACUGGAAUGUAUUGGAAAGCAGUGACUAACUCUGGUUUUUCUAUCAAUUGCUUAUGUACUUAAGGAAAUGAAAAUUGGUUCCAGUCUCACUGAGGUAGGCACUGCCCUCAAAAGGAAAUGAAAACAACACUCUAUUAGCAACAGUCCACCUAAUUUGGAUAUUUUUGAGAUGCACAUGUUCACUAGUGGUCAGCUGAAAUUUCCUGAAUCACUAGUGUCCUGGUGCUGUUUCUUGAGAAACAGCAAGUGGAAUGUUUUACUCACCCCUUCAUAUACCUCCCAAAGUGUUUUCUGGUUCAUAAAAUUACAAAUGAACAAACUGAAGAAAGAAGAGAACUUCAUAAAAAUGGAAACUGAUUGUUAAAUGCUUUUAGAACAUUUCCUAUUGGCGAGUAGUGGAAAUGAAUUAGCAAGUAAAUGUUUUUAAAUAUACUUUUUAUUGAUUAAAAAAUAAGUUUAUCCAUCUUCUGACUAAAUCAAUGUUGAACACACAUUUGUAGAAUAUUUGCUUGUAGGGGCCACUUGACUACGGUGUUCUGGGAGGUUGAGAGUGAGGGAUAGGACAUAGCAGCAAAGGUCUCUUUUUUUUCUUUGAAAGUGAAUAGCUUUUCUUUUUUCUUUUUUUUAUUGGAGUUCAAUUUGCCAAUAUAUAGCAUAACACCCAGUGUUCAUCCCGCCAAGUGCCCCCCUUAUUGCCCAUCACCCAGUGACCCCAACUCCCGCCCACUUCCCCUUCCACUACCCCUUGUUCAUUUCCCAAACUUAGGUCUCUCAUGUUUUGUCACCCUCACUGAUAUUUUCACUCAUUUUCUCUCCUUUCCCGCAAAGGUAUCUUUUAUUUUAAGUUCCUAGAUUGCUCCAUUAAGGAGAUAUCUUUCUGGAGAUCAUCUGGGCAACCAGUGUUGCAAAAGAACAGACUCAAGGACCAGCCAGUUACAUAUUUUAAAUUUUGGAAGCAUUGUACCAGGUCUGAGACAAUGAGAAGGCAUCUCCAGCCAUCCAUGGCUGUUUGGGUAAAGAAAGCACUUGGGGGAAACAAUAGCUAAAAAAUCAGGCAAAGGAUCUGAAAAACUGAUGAAGUAAUUACCUUAUUCACCCACUAACUCAUCCCUUCACCAUCAUUCCAAAUGGUUUGACCUAAACACAAAUGAGCUGAUUCCAGCUCUGCUCAGUUCAGUAUGGGGAAUCAGAGGGGAAAUUGUAUCCGCCCACAAAUGUCUUCCUCAACUCUGAUGUUCCAAAGGAGGUAAUUGAGAAACAAAACAAAACAAAACAAAACAAACAAACAAACAAACAAAAAACCCCACAGAUAUAACAAAACUUAAAAAGAGCAUAAGUUGUCCAUGUAGAAAAUCUGAAAGAAUAGACAAAAGAAUCUUCUGGAACUAAUAAGUUACUAAAGCAAGGUUGCAGGAUACAAGGUUAAUAUACAAAAGCCAGUCACUUUUCUAUAUACCAGAAGUGAACAAGUAAAAUUUGAAAUAAAAUGCCCAAUGUCAUUUCCA